UACAGAGGGGGCAAGCGUUGUUCGGAAUUACUGGGCGUAAAGGGCUCGUAGGCGGCCCGCUAAGUCGAACGUGAAAUCCCCGGGCUCAACCCGGGAACUGCGUCCGAUACUGGCAGGCUUGAGUUCGGGAGAGGGAUGUGGAAUUCCAGGUGUAGCGGUGAAAUGCGUAGAUAUCUGGAGGAACACCGGUGGCGAAGGCGGCCUGCUGGGCAGUAGCUGACGCUGAUGCGCGACAGCGUGGGGAGCAAACAGG
rnacentral:rRNA from 1 species